GGACGAUCAAUAUUUAUUCUUGUUUUCUAGAACACAACUUGAACCUUCCGUAGGAGGAACCCAAGUGGUGGACCUGGUUUCAAGGACAGAAAAGUCUACAAAUGCAAUUUCUUCAGUUGAUUUUUACAUUUGCCAUAUUGUGUUUAAUACCGUAUUAUCAGACAAAAAAAAACAUAAUUUGGUGCAGCUUGCCAGCUCAGAGUUCAAAACAAUACUAAACACUGCAUUGGAGAAGAGGACAAAAGCAGUGUUGGAGACCAUCUGUUGGAGGCCAUCUGUUGGAGGCCAUCUGUUGGAGGCCAUCUGUUGGAGGCCAUCUGUUGGAGGCCAUCUGUUGGAGACCAUCUGUUGGAGGCCAUCUGUUGGAGAACAUCUGUUGGAGGCCAUCUGUUGGAGACCAUCUGUUGGAGGUCAUCUGUUGGAGGUCAUCUGUUGGAGGCCAUCUGUUGGAGACCAUCUGUUGGAGACCAUCUGUUGGAGACCAUCUGUUGGAGGCCAUCUGUUGGAGACCAUCUGUUAGAGGCCAUCUGUUGGAGGCCAUCUGUUGGAGACCAUCUGUUGGAGGCCAUCUGUUGGAGGCCAUCUGUUGGAGGCCAUCUGUUGGAGGCCAUCUGAUGGAGGCCAUCUGUUGGAGGCCAUCUGUUGGAGACCAUCUGUUGGAGGCCAUCUGUUGGAGGCCAUCUGUUGGAGACCAUCUGUUGGAGGCCAUCUGUUGGAGACCAUCUGUUGGAGGCCAUCUGUUGGAGGCCAUCUGUUGGAGACCAUCUGUUAGAGGCUAUCUGUUGGAGGCCAUCUGUUGGAGACCAUCUGUUGGAGACCAUCUGUUAGAGGCCAUCUGUUGGAGACCAUCUGUUGGAGGCCAUCUGUUGGAGGCCAUCUGUUGGAGGCUAUCUGUUGGAGACCAUCUGUUGGAGACCAUCUGUUGGAGACCAUCUGUUGGAGACCAUCUGUUGGAGGCCAUCUGUUGGAGACCAUCUGUUAGAGGCCAUCUGUUGGAGACCAUCUGUUGGAGGCUAUCUGUUGGAGACCAUCUGUUGGAGACCAUCUGUUGGAGACCAUCUGUUGGAGGCCAUCUGUUGGAGACCAUCUGUUGGAGGCCAUCUGUUGGAGACCAUCUGUUAGAGGCCAUCUGUUGGAGGCCAUCUGUUGGAGACCAUCUGUUGGAGGCCAUCUGUUGGAGGCCAUCUGUUGGAGACCAUCUGUUAGAGGCUAUCUGUUGGAGGCCAUCUGUUGGAGGCCAUCUGUUGGAGGCUAUCUGUUGGAGACCAUCUGUUGGAGGCCAUCUGUUGGAGACCAUCUGUUGGAGGUCAUCUGUUGGAGGCCAUCUGUUGGAGGCCAUCUGUUGGAGACCAUCUGUUGGAGGCCAUCUGUUGGAGGCCAUCUGUUGGAGACCAUCUGUUGGAGGCCAUCUGUUAGAGGCCAUCUGUUGGAGGCCAUCUGUUAGAGGCCAUCUGUUGGAGACCAUCUGUUGGAGGCCAUCUGUUGGAGGCCAUCUGUUGGAGGCCAUCUGUUGGAGACCAUCUGUUGGAGACCAUCUGUUGGAGGCCAUCUGUUGGAGGCCAUCUGUUGGAGGCUAUCUGUUGGAGACCAUCUGUUGGAGGCCAUCUGUUGGAGACCAUCUGUUGGAGGUCAUCUGUUGGAGGCCAUCUGUUGGAGGCCAUCUGUUGGAGACCAUCUGUUGGAGGCCAUCUGUUAGAGGCCAUCUGUUGGAGGCCAUCUGUUAGAGGCCAUCUGUUGGAGACCAUCUGUUGGAGGCCAUCUGUUGGAGGCCAUCUGUUGGAGGCCAUCUGUUGGAGACCAUCUGUUAGAGACCAUCUGUUGGAGGCCAUCUGUUGGAGACCAUCUGUUGGAGGCCAUCUGUUGGAGGCCAUCUGUUGGAGACCAUCUGUUGGAGACCAUCUGUUGGAGGCCAUCUGUUGGAGGCCAUCUGUUGGAGGCUAUCUGUUGGAGACCAUCUGUUGGAGGCCAUCUGUUGGAGACCAUCUGUUGGAGGCCAUCUGUUAGAGGCCAUCUGUUGGAACGCACCUUUAUGUGAGGCAUAAUGAGGAAAUAUGUUUAGGUGAAAAUCAUGAAAAUCUUAGUACCAUUGCUGUAGUUCUAUACGCACAUUAGGACAGUAUAAUUGAAACUGUAAUACUAACUAACGAAAACAAUGUCUUAUUUCUGUUUUUCUUUCAUUUCAGAGGGUCAAGCAACAUGGUUGUCAAGGCGGAGUUAAAGCGGAGUCCCUUCUUCAAUCUCCCUGAAGAGGAGGAUCCUCUCCAAUCUCCCUGAAGAGGAGGCCCUUCUCCAAUCUCCCUGAAGAGGAGGAUCCUCUCCAAUCUCCCUGAAGAGGAGGAUCCUCUCCAAUCUCCCUGAAGAGGAGGCCCUUCUCCAAUCUCCCUGAAGAGGAGGAUCCUCUCCAAUCUCCAUGAACUGCUGACUUUAGAGGCGACAGUCAAUCUGCAGGGUGGUGUCUAGAGCCAGUAAACCUUUGGAUGACUGGCACAACACUCUAACCACUAGGCUACCUGCCGCCCCUACACUCUAACCACUAGGCUACCUGCCGCCCCUCCACUCUAACCACUUCGCUACCUGCCGCCCCUCCACUCUAACCACUAGGCUACCUGCCGCCCCUCCACUCUAACCACUAGGCUACCUGCCGCCCCUCCACUCUAACCACUAGGCUACCUGCCCCCCCUCCACUCUAACCACUAGGCUACCUGCCGCCUCUCCACUCUAACCACUAGGCUACCUGCCGCCCCUCCACUCUAACCACUAGGCUACCUGCCGCCCCUCCACUCUAACCACUAGGCUACCUGCCGCCCCUCCACUCUAACCACUAGGCUACCUGCCGCCCCUCCACUCUAACCACUUGGCUACCUGCCGCCCCUCCACUCUAACCCCUAGGCUACCUGCCGCCCCUACACUCUAACCACUAGGCUACCUGCCGCCCCUCCACUCUAACCACUAGGCUACCUGCCGCCCCUCCAGUCUAACCACUAGGCUACCUGCCGCCCCCCUACACUCUAAUUGGCUCAUCGCGCUCUAGCGACUCCUUGUGGCGGGCAGGGCGCCAGCAGGCUGAACCUGGUCGUCAGUUGAACAGUGUUUCGUCCGACACAGUGGUGCAGCUGGCUUCUGGAUUAAGCGGGGCUGGUGUUAAGAAUCGCGUUGUUUCCGGAGGUCACAUGACUCGACCUUCGCCUCUCCCGAGAGCCAGUUGGGGAGUUGCAGCGAUGAGACAAGAUCGUAAUCCCGAAAUUGUGGAGAAAAAAAAAGAGGAGAGUGUUUGAAUUUUGAGCAAUAGAAUAAGAAUUGGUCUUCCUCUGCACACACACAAGAAAAACAUUUUUAUAAUGUUUACUUUGUUAGUAGAAGCUUUAACUGGACCGUAGCUUAUUACUAACUAAAACUGUCAUUACACUAUAAGGUUUUUAUUCUACGAGAAACUAAAAUGGUCUGUUAUAUUCCAUUAUAUUCUUAAAAUAUAUGUGUUGAAUGAAUAUACACAAGGGAUGUCUUCUAAAUUAACAACUCGAUGGUAGAAUGCCAAACAAAAAAAGCCUCCACUGCAAAGCACAGAUCAAUAAAUAAAGAUUUCACACCUGAAUUAUUUAAUUUAGUUGUUAUAUUUAUUACAUUCACUUGUGGAAUGUCACUAAAUAGAUAACAACCAUAGAAUGGAGUGGUAGAGAGUCAGGUGGAGAAUGGAGUGGUAGAGUCAGGUGGAGAAUGGAGUGGUAGAGAGUCAGGUGGAGAAUGGAGUGGUAGAGUCAGGUGGAGAAUGGAUUGGUAGAGAGUCAGGUGGAGAAUGGAGUGGUAGAGAGUCAGGUGGAGAAUGGAGUGGUAGAGUCAGGUGGAGAAUGGAGUGGUAGAGAGUCAGGUGGAGAAUGGAGUGGUAGAG
rnacentral:lncRNA from 1 species